AAAACCUGAGUCAGAUGAUGAGCG
rnacentral:miRNA from 1 species